GGAAGACAGCGUAGUGGUGGCGAAUGUUAUUGUGGCCCUCUACAACUCCACAGUAAGAAUCAAUGAUUUUUCAGUUGUUUAUCUAGAAGCGGCUACAUCUGUGUGUGUGAUGAUGAUGAUGAUGUUCCUGGGCAAAAGGAAUAUUUGAAAUGGGCUACUUUAUCAUUGCAGGUCUGGCAGGACCUUGAGAGAAACUUAACAUAUGAGAUAAACCAAUCAAAAAUGGACAUUAUCGCCAGGGACCAUUACUGCAUUGUAUGAAGAGACUGGAAAAAGUUAUUGUUGAUGAAACUCAAGAUGUUGCCAUGGGGAAUGACCGUUGAAACUGGAGACAUAAUCCCUUGUUGACAAGAAACGUUUAAACAAGGUAAAAAGAUCUUCACCUAAGUUUGUGAUUUCUUUUUCUUACUUUACAUCAAACCUGAGAACUUGUGUAUGCAUGCUCUCAGGGACUUUAAUCCCUUGC
rnacentral:lncRNA from 1 species